AACGCUAGCUACAGGCUUAACACAUGCAAGUCGAGGGGCAGCAUGAACUUAGCUUGCUAAGUUUGAUGGCGACCGGCGCACGGGUGAGUAACACGUAUCCAACCUGCCGAUGACUCGGGGAUAGCCUUUCGAAAGAAAGAUUAAUACCCGAUGGCAUAGUUCUUCCGCAUGGUAGAACUAUUAAAGAACUUCGGUCAUCGAUGGGGAUGCGUUCCAUUAGGUUGUUGGCGGGGUAACGGCCCACCAAGCCUUCGAUGGAUAGGGGUUCUGAGAGGAAGGUCCCCCACAUUGGAACUGAGACACGGUCCAAACUCCUACGGGAGGCAGCAGUGAGGAAUAUUGGUCAAUGGACGAGAGUCUGAACCAGCCAAGUAGCGUGAAGGAUGACUGCCCUAUGGGUUGUAAACUUCUUUUAUACGGGAAUAAAGUGAGGCACGUGUGCCUUUUUGUAUGUACCGUAUGAAUAAGGAUCGGCUAACUCCGUGCCAGCAGCCGCGGUAAUACGGAGGAUCCGAGCGUUAUCCGGAUUUAUUGGGUUUAAAGGGAGCGUAGGCGGACGCUUAAGUCAGUUGUGAAAGUUUGCGGCUCAACCGUAAAAUUGCAGUUGAUACUGGGUGUCUUGAGUACAGUAGAGGCAGGCGGAAUUCGUGGUGUAGCGGUGAAAUGCUUAGAUAUCACGAAGAACUCCGAUUG
rnacentral:rRNA from 1 species